UCGAAUUUCGAAAUUCAGACGAGUUUUUAUUUGACCUUAAAGUUUUCAUGUCUUCUAAAUUUUUUUGGACUGGAAACUAUUGUGACUUAUAAUACUUUUUAUAUAAUUUCUAAAUAUGUAAAUUUUAUUUUCAAAAAGUUUAAAGAUUCAAUGUUUGAAUUCAUGGUCAAAUUUAAAAAGUUUAACUCUCGAAAUUCGAACUGUGCCACAUAAUUGGGACAAAGGGAGUAUCAAGUUUGCUUGUGUUUAGAUAUGAGUCUUAUUUUUUCAGAUCUUGACUAUUAAAUGUUUUUUUUUUUUACAACCACUUAACGAGUUUGAACAGAAAUGAAUAAUUAAGAUAUAGAACAAAGUCUUACUAUCAUUAAAGAUAUCUAUUAAAUGACAUACAGGGAAGAUGUGUAACCUUUCAAAGGUCUGAAGGGAGAGGAAGUUAGUAUAUACCCUGAUUGUCCACCUAUAGUAGAUACUUGAAAUCAGUUUGCAGAAGAUGUACUUGUGCUGGUGCAUGUUCCAGUAUAGAGCCCUGUUACUCCAGUUGAUCAAGGAACUGAGGAGAUUUUACAAGCUCAGGACCAACCAGCUUUGCAGGAUCAGGUGCCAGUCCAUGUUGCUCCAGUAGAUCCUACUUUUGGACUUCAGCUAGAGGGGAGAAAAACUAAUAGGGUUGUGAAACCUCUUAUCCGGCUAAAAGACUAUGUGACAAAUAAGAAGCCAUCAACAACUUUCUGUAUACUUACUUUCAUAUGUUCUGACCUACAACACUUUGUCACAUGUAUAUCAAUCUUAUGUGCAGGCCUUCGCUACUCACGUUGAGCCCAAAACCUUCAAAGAAGCAGUUGCAGAUAAUAGAUGGAUUCAGGUAAUGCAACAUGAGAGAGGUGUUUUAGAAGACAACAAAACCUAGGAGUUAGUUCACUUGCCCCCGAGUAAGCGGGCUAGGAUCUAAGCUGGUGUAUAAAAUAAAGUACAAGACAAAUGGUGAUGUAGAGGUACAAAGCAAAGUUUGUAGCAAAAGGUUAUAAUCAACAUGAAGAGUUAGAUUAUCAUGACACAUUUUUCCCUGUUGCUAAAAUAGUUUAUGUUAGAACUCUCAUUAGCAUAGGAACUGCUCAGAACUGGGAGUUGUCACCAAUGGAUAUAAGCAUUGCAUUCCUUCAAGGAGACCUUUACAUGCAACUGCCACAAGGUUUUCAUAAUCAAGGGGAGAAAAGAGUUUGUAAAUUGAAAGAAAUCACUUUAUGAUCUCAAACAAGCCUCAAGACAAUGGAAUAUUAAGUUGACGGAUGCCCUAAUAGCUGGAGGAUACCAGUGCUUAUGACCACUCACUGUUUAUCCAAAGAUCAGGGCCUGAUAUUGUAGCCAUCUUGAUCUAUAUGGAUGACUUGCUUAUCAUUGGGAGCAGUUCUGAAUUGAUUCAGUAGGAAAAUGACACACUUCAUAAGGCCUUUAAGGAUGUGGCCAACUAAGAUACUUCCUUGGAAUUAAGGUGUUAAGGUCACGAAAGGGUCUUUUACAAGGAAGUAUGUGCUGGAGCUAAUUUCUGAAGUUGGAUUGAGUGGGGCAAAACUAGUCGUGACACACUUAGAGUUUAAUUAGAAGCUCACCACUAUAAAUUAUGACUCUCAUGUGGGAAGGAUCGAUGAUCCAGAGUUAGAUGAUAUCCCCAGUUAUCAAAAGUUGAUGGGAAGUUGCUAUAUUUGACUAUUACCAGGCCUGACAUCUGCUUCACGGUACCGGUGCUUAGUCAGUUCAUGCAGAAGCCUAAGCAUUCACACAUAGAUGAAACAUUAAGCGUGGUCAGAUACUUGAAGGGUGCUCAUGGUAUACGGAUUCUUUUCAAGACAGGAAGCAUAAGUACCGUGACUAUGUACUGUGAUUCUGACUGGGCUGCCUGUUCUAAUACUAAGAAAAGUGAAUCUUUGAUUUCAUGAAAAUUCAAAAAGCAACACACAGUUAGCAGGAGCUCUGCAGAGGCAGAGUACAUGAGUAUGGUUGCUGCUAGUGUAGAGAUCACUUGGUUGACAAUUUUUUGGCUGAGCUUUGUAUUGAACUACAACUGCCAGUACAAUUGUAUUGUGACAAUUUUGUAUGUGCGAAUGCUUAAGUUGCUCCACCACAACUGUUAUACCCCGUAAUUUUAUACGUCGAGUUAUUCGCAAGAGAAUCGACUCAAGUUAAAGACGGGAUCAUUUUCGGGCACGAAACAAAAAUCUUUAAUUUCCGGUCUCUAUUAGAAAAUGAAUUGCUUAUGAAUUUUACUUAGUGUAAAAAUAUUAAUGGAAAGUUAGGAUUAAUUUACCAUGAUUAGAUUAUUAAGUGGGGAUUAGUGAUUAAUUAAUCUAAUUAUCGAAAAGUGGGCCCUACGACACGUGGCGAGAUUUGGUUGGACUUGAAUAAAGAUGGACACAUGUCAUGAAAAAUUGACACAUGUCCACUUUGUAAAGAUAAAAUAUAUAGGCAUAAGUGGAAGACUAAGUCAUCACUUAUACCACAAAUUAGUCUUGCAAAUUAGGUCUUAGAGAGAGGGGCUCUCAAGCCUAGAGAGAGAGAAGAUCGCGGGUACUGUUCCGGCCACUGUUCACGGCGGGGCUACUAUUCACGGCGGCGCUACUGUUCACGCCGCCACUGUUCACGGCCAGCCCAUUUUUGCCCCCUUCUACACAAUUAAUUGGAGAGAUUUGAAGAUUAAGAGGAGGAAAAAGAUGGAGCUCAUGGUAGCCAUGGCUUUCUUGAAGACAUUUCAUGGUGAAAAAUUAGAGCUUGUCUCUAAGGCCUUGGGGAGCCCGAGGCGUAGGUUGGGAUUAAUUUUAGUUGGGCAAACUUGGAGCGCGUACGAGGUAUGUAAAGCGCAACCCUUCUUUCUUUUGGCAUGCCUUAGUUUUCAAUAGGCUAGAUUAUAAACCUUGAGGAAACUUCUAAGAUUCGAAAUCCGAGCAUGUUAUGAGCCUUAUAAAUAUUCCUUGGCACUCUUAUGUAUGAUUUGAUGAAAUAUGAACCAUUAUGUCUUUGAAAUAAUCGCUUUCCGAACUUUGCAUAAAAAGGUUUCACUUUAAAGAAUUUCGUAAUUUGUGAACGCCAUAUCUUUCACCGAAAGGCUCGGAUUGCUUCAAUAUUUUUGUAGAAGUUUAUAUGACAUAUAAUGAGUAUAUUUUUCAUAGGCGGGCCCGAUUCGGGUCAAUUCCCGUCCGUGGGUCCCGUGACUUUUCUUUAUGUAAUUCAGACGACUUUUGAAAGAAUUUGGUAUGAUUAUCAUUUCGAAUUUCAAGUAUGGUCAUUUACUUAUAUUUGAGUCUAUAAUAAUGAUUUUAUGCAUAUGGUUACUCAUGACUCUGCUCGUGCGUUCUGUUAUAUCUUUCACCGGUUCCCGGGCCGGUUCUGUUAUCGUGCGCGCUUUGAUAUACUCCGAAGUUAUGCUGUGUUUAUGGUUCUCCGAGCUACUCGCAAACGAGGGUCGGGUUCCACAUAUAUUUGGUGUUAUGCUGUGUAUGGCGUUAUGUUGUGAUGUGAUAUGUGACGGGGAUACGGAGAUUUGAAACUUUCUGGUGUUAUGCUGUGUUAUGGCGCCAUCGACGGGUGGGCGACCAUAUUCUUCUGUACCUUAUGCAUGACUUAUAUUUUGAAAGUAAACAUUUUGAUACGUUGGAUUGGUACUUAUGUUUGGUACUUCCAUUUCGUUUAUGUCUCAGAUUUGCUUUCUGUAUAUUCUGCUUUGCAUACUCAGUACAUAUUUCGUACUGACCCCCUUUCUUCGGGGGGGCUGCGUUUCAUGCCCGCAGGUACAGACGCACAGUUUGGUGAUCUACCCAUUUAGGACACCCUCUUCUGCUGUUUGGAGUGCUCUUCUCAUUUCAGAGCACACAUUUUGGUAUAUAUUCGUUCGCUAUGUAUAUAUGUAUUUGUUCAGGGGCACGGCGGGGCCCUGUCCCGCCAUAUGAUUCGGUUUGUCUGUUUAGAGGUCUGUAGACGUAUUUGUGGGUGUGUGUGCCUACUUCUGUACGGAUGUGUUUGCAUGACUCUAUUCGUUAUGGCAGCCUCGUCGGCGUGCAUUUUGUAUAUGUUGUGGCAGCCUUGUCGGCGUGCAUUUGUAUAUGCGUUUUGGGCCGUUGUGCCAUUUGACAGCCUUGUCGGCUUUUGACAUAUUUGAUAGCCUUGCCGGCUUUUUGACAUCUAUACAUAUAUAUCCGCAUACGGUUGCGUUGA